rnacentral:rRNA from 1 species
UCUUCCUACGGGGGGCAGCAGUGGGGAAUAUUGCACAAUGGGGGGAACCCUGAUGCAGCGACGCCGCGUGAGUGAAGAAGUAUUUCGGUAUGUAAAGCUCUGUCAGCAGGGAAGAAGAAAGACGGUACCUGACCAAGAAGCCCCGGCUAACUACGUGCCAGCAGCCGCGGUAAUACGUAGGGGGCAAGCGUUAUCCGGAUUUACUGGGGGUAAAGGGAGCGUAGACGGCGAAGAAAGUCUGAAGUGAAAGCCCGCGGCUCAACCGUGGAACUGCUUUGGAAACUUUUUUGCUGGAGUACCG